GUAUGUUAGUCCCACUGGUUUCUGCUACUAGUAGUGUUAGUCCCACUGGUUUCUGCUACUGUUAAAGUGUUAGUCCCACUGGUUUCUGCUACUAGUAAAAGUGUUAGUCCCACUGGUUUCUGCUACUAGUUAGUGUUAGUCCCACUGGUUUCU
rnacentral:lncRNA from 1 species